rnacentral:lncRNA from 1 species
CCUAAGCUGACACUAUUCAGCUGGAAAAUCUGCAGAAGAGGUUGUGUUAAAUUUGUUUCUGAAAGCAGUUAAACAGGUUAUAAGACAGAAUACUGCAAUCACCUUUGAAGUAAAUGAGCCCAAACUUUCUAAAUAUCCAUGAUGUCUGAGUUGGUCCUAGAUACAGCUGGUUAGAAAAUGUCUUAGUAAUCUUCAGUUGGUUGCCCAGAAGGAGUUAAGGAACUAGAAAUUAUUGCUGAAGUAGAACAGCAUUUGUGUAUCUGCUGAAAAAAUAUAGCACUAAGAAGAACCAGCAAUAGAAGCUAAAUUUAUUUUAGAGGUAUACCUUCCGGCUGAGACUAACUCUUGCAAUAGACAGAGAUCAAAAGACGAUGCAAUAAAAGAUGUGGCAAAGAAACUGUAGACAGAAAAAUUGAUUAAACAGUGUGGCUUAUAUAACUUGAAGAUGAUAGCAAAUAUAUGACAACAGGAGUCUGGUGGGCUGGGUGGUCAGAUAAAGUACAGCUUGUUGGUGAGUGGAAGCAAACUUGGUUGCUAAAGUGUUCGGUAACAAUAGAGGUAACUGUUUCUGGGCCAUGAUGUCUAAGAUGAUUGAUGAGUUACCUUGGUGGUUAGAAUUAGAGGUAGAACCUACGAAACCAAGAAAGUAUACUGUGGUUGUUACUCACCAUUUGGCGCCACUGGGAAGGU